rnacentral:lncRNA from 13 species
GACAUCCCCAAUGAGCACUUCAACAACAAAGAAGCAAAAUUGAGUUAAAAUUCAUUUGUCUGCAGGGGCUGAUCAUGAGACUGUUUGAAAGGCUGGAACAGAGGAUGUUGCUUAACUCUACCUGGUCUCACUGUGUUACUCAGGCUGGAAUGCAGUGGCACGAUGUUACCUUGCUGCAGCCUCUACCUCCCAGGUGAAAGAGAUCCUCCUAUGUCAGCCUCUCAAGAAGCUGGGAACACAGGGUGAAGCUAACAAUUUGCUCCUCAGUCCUGGUGUGAAUCUCUCAGCAGCAGCUAGUGCAUCACCCCUAGAAUGCCCAGGUAAGAGAUGCCUGCAUCCAUGUACACAUCCCCGGCAAUGACACAAGAGACUUGUGAGCCCCAG